AGUCGUAACAAGGUCUCCGUAGGUGAACCUGCGGAGGGAUCAUUACACAACAAAAUAUGAAGGCCUGGCUUCGCGGCCGGCUGAAAUAUUUUUUUCACCCAUGUCUUUUGCGCACUUGUUGUUUCCUGGGCGGGUUCGCCCGCCACCAGGACCAAACCAUAAACCUUUUUUUUAUGCAGUUGCAAUCAGCGUCAGUAAAAACAAUGUAAUUAUUACAACUUUCAACAACGGAUCUCUUGGUUCUGGCAUCGAUGAAGAACGCAGCGAAAUGCGAUACGUAGUGUGAAUUGCAGAAUUCAGUGAAUCAUCGAAUCUUUGAACGCACAUUGCGCCCUUUGGUAUUCCAAAGGGCAUGCCUGUUCGAGCGUCAUUUGUACCUUCAAGCUUUGCUUGGUGUUGGGCGUUUUUUGUCUCCCUCUUUCUGGGAGACUCGCCUUAAAACGAUUGGCAGCCGGCCUACUGGUUUCGGAGCGCAGCACAUAUUUUGCGCUUUGUAUCAGGAGAAAAGGACGGUAAUCCAUCAAGACUCUACAUUUUUAACUUUUGACCUCGGAUCAGGUAGGGAUACCCGCUGAACUUAAGCAUAUCAAUA
rnacentral:rRNA from 1 species